UGGGGAAUAUUGCACAAUGGGCGGAAGCCUGAUGCAGCAACGCCGCGUGCGGGAUGACGGCCUUCGGGUUGUAAACCGCUUUCGCCUGUGACGAAGCGUGAGUGACGGUAAUGGGUAAAGAAGCACCGGCUAACUACGUGCCAGCAGCCGCGGUGAUACGUAGGGUGCGAGCGUUGUCCGGAUUUAUUGGGCGUAAAGGGCUCGUAGGUGGUUGAUCGCGUCGGAAGUGUAAUCUUGGGGCUUAACCCUGAGCGUGCUUUCGAUACGGGUUGACUUGAGGAAGGUAGGGGGGAAUGGAAUUCCUGGUGGAGCGGUGGAAUGCGCAGAUAUCAGGAGGAACACCAGUGGCGAAGGCGGUUCUCUGGGCCUUUCCUGACGCUGAGGAGCGAAAGCGUGGGAAGCGAACAGG
rnacentral:rRNA from 1 species